rnacentral:rRNA from 1 species
GACGAACGCUGGCGGCGUGCUUAACACAUGCAAGUCGAACGGAAAGGCCCAGCUUGCUGGGUACUCGAGUGGCGAACGGGUGAGUAACACGUGGGUGAUCUGCCCUGAACUUCGGGAUAAGCCUGGGAAACUGGGUCUAAUACCGGAUAUGACCAUUGGUUGCAUGACUUUUGGUGGAAAGCUUUUGCGGUUCAGGAUGGGCCCGCGGCCUACCAGCCUGUUGGUGAGGUAACGGCUCACCAAGGCGACGACGGGUAGCCGACCUGGGAGGGUGAUCGGCCACACUGGGACUGAGACACGGCCCAGACUCCUACGGGAGGCAGCAGUGGGGAAUAUUGCACAAUGGGCGCAAGCCUGAUGCAGCGACGCCGCGUGGGGGAUGACGGCCUUCGGGUUGUAAACCUCUUUCGGCAGGGACGAAGCGCAAGUGACGGUACCUGCAGAAGAAGCACCGGCCAACUACGUGCCAGCCGCCGCCGUAACAC